GAUGAGCGCUGGCGGCGUGCCUAAUACAUGCAAGUCGAGCGAACAGACGAGGAGCUUGCUCCUCUGACGUUAGCGGCGGACGGGUGAGUAACACGUGGAUAACCUACCUAUAAGACUGGGAUAACUUCGGGAAACCGGAGCUAAUACCGGAUAAUAUAUUGAACCGCAUGGUUCAAUAGUGAAAGACGGUUUUGCUGUCACUUAUAGAUGGAUCCGCGCCGCAUUAGCUAGUUGGUAAGGUAACGGCUUACCAAGGCAACGAUGCGUAGCCGACCUGAGAGGGUGAUCGGCCACACUGGAACUGAGACACGGUCCAGACUCCUACGGGAGGCAGCAGUAGGGAAUCUUCCGCAAUGGGCGAAAGCCUGACGGAGCGACGCCGCGUGAGUGAUGAAGGUCUUCGGAUCGUAAAACUCUGUUAUUAGGGAAGAACAAAUGUGUAAGUAACUAUGCACGUCUUGACGGUACCUAAUCAGAAAGCCACGGCUAACUACGUG
rnacentral:rRNA from 1 species